rnacentral:rRNA from 1 species
UUAGAGUUUGAUCCUGGCUCAGGAUGAACGCUAGCGGGAGGCUUAAUACAUGCAAGUCGGGCGCCCCGCAAGGGGAGCGGCGCACGGGUGAGUAACACGUACGCAAUCUGCCUCAUGCUGGGGGAUAGCCCCGGGAAACUGGGAGUAAUCCGCCAUAGAAUCUGAGUGUGGCAUCACAUUGAGAUUAAAGUUUAAGCGGCAUGAGAUGAGCGUGCGUCUGAUUAGCUAGUUGGCGAGGUAACGGCUCACCAAGGCGACGAUCAGUAAGGGGCGUGAGAGCGUGGCCCCUCACACGGGUACUGAGACACGGACCCGACUCCUACGGGAGGCAGCAGUAAGGAAUAUUGGACAAUGGGCGGAAGCCUGAUCCAGCCAUCCCGCGUGCUUGAUGAAGGCCCUCUGGGUCGUAAAGAGCUUUAGACUGGGAAGAAACCACUUGAUGAGUCAGGUGUUGACGGUACCAGUAGAAUAAGCACCGGCUAACUCCGUGCCAGCAGCCGCGGUAAUACGGAGGGUGCAAGCGUUAUCCGGAAUCACUGGGUUUAAAGGGUGCGUAGGCGGCUUGAUAAGUCAGGGGUGAAAGCCCGCAGCUUAACUGCGGAACUGCCUUUGAUACUGUCGAGCUUGAAAGAGGAUGAGGUCAGCGGAACGUGACAUGUAGCGGUGAAAUGCAUAGAUAUGUCACAGAACACCGAUUGCGAAGGCAGCUGGCUGGACCUACUUUGACGCUGAGGCACGAAAGCGUGGGUAGCAAACAGGAUUAGAUACCCUGGUAGUCC